rfam:Acanthamoeba castellanii str. Neff unplaced genomic scaffold scf7180000083029, whole genome shotgun sequence.
UAGACCGUACUCUUCAGGAUCAUAUUCCAUAGUAUUGAGUCUAUAGUCUUGUAUCCCUUAAACAAGACGAGCCCACUGGGUAUGGAUGAUGACGCCUGUCCCUUGCUCCUGAGCGCGAAGUGCUGCGUUGCGCACACAGUGCCUGCAUCGCCCCUCGGGGCCGUUGCAUGGUCUGGCGCAACGCGUUGAUGACCGUUCCUUUACACCGUAAUGCCAAGGGUUGGGUGUGGGAUGGAGCGAGUGGA